rnacentral:lncRNA from 1 species
AUGCAGGCUCCCGCCCCAGGGCCUUUGCCCUCCCUGUGGGCUGCCUGGGACUCCGCCCCUGUCUCCCUCAGCCUCCUUCCCGCUCUGCCCACCCCUGCACUUACUCCCCCACCCUGUACUGAAAAAAGAGCGAGGUCCUCCCUCCAGGGGCCCACGAGACACACGAGGGCAGGCUCUGCGGCCCCUCCCCACUCCCACCCCUCGUGUGCCUGGGGCCCGCAGAACAGCGCCUGGCGCACAGCAGGGACUGACAAGCUAGUACCUGAGCCGCGCGGGCACCGCAGUCUGCACCGCAGCCUCAAGGCCGAGGCUCCUUGCUCCAGAGAAGAGGACGCUGGCGCUCAGAAGGGUCCCCGCCCGCAAGGCCGGCCGCUGCCCGGGGGCCCAGCCCCGCCCACGCCGCCCGCCUCACGCCUCGCCAGGGUCGGUCUGCGGAGGCUCGGUCCGCAGGGUCUGCCGGGGGUCCCUCUGCCUGCCCGGGCUGCAGCCCCACUCCCCUCCAGGACACUCACAGCCCCCUCCCCUCCCCACUCAAAGAGCCCACGGCCAGUUUUCUGGCCUCCUGGACCCGCGACCUCGCGCGUCCGUCCUCCUCGGGUCCUCCUCCGAGCACACCGCUCUGAACGUGGAGGGGCCCUCGGCCGCGGACAGCUAACGACACCAGCUGGCGACCGGGCGGAGCGAGCGUCGGCCGGCAGAGAGAGCCCGCCGGUGCUAGCCCCGCCCCUGGGCGUGGCCGCGGCGUCUGCGCACGCGCGGGCCGGAUCGCAGCGGAGGGCGCCUGCGGGCGAGGCUGUGGUACCCGCGUGCAGCCCCGCAAGUGUAAGGCGGGCAGCGUUCGGCCUCGGGAUCCCUCCCUGGUCGCGCCGCGAGUUUGGCCCAGGCACACUUCCCUCAAGGCUCUCUGACGGUGCAGCUGCCAAGCCUUUGAGCUCGCCGGUCCCCGCCGGCCUCCGCGCAGCCCUUCGUGGCCUCCGUCCCGAGCGUGGGCGCCUCUGGGAGGCAGGAGCACCGAGCCCGGGUCGCGGUGCUGCGUGA